rnacentral:rRNA from 1 species
CAGCAGCCGCGGUAAUACGUAGGUCCCGAGCGUUGUCCGGAUUUAUUGGGCGUAAAGCGAGCGCAGGCGGUUAGGUAAGUCUGAAGUUAAAGGCCGUGGCUUAACCAUAGUACGCUUUGGAAACUGUUUAACUUGAGUGCAAGAGGGGAGAGUGGAAUUCCAUGUGUAGCGGUGAAAUGCGUAGAUAUAUGGAGGAACACCGGUGGCGAAAGCGGCUCUCUGGCUUGUAACUGACGCUGAGGAGCGAAAGCGUGGGGAGCGAACAGGAUUAGAUACCCCCGUAGUCCCUGUCUCUUAUACC